rnacentral:rRNA from 1 species
GGCGGCGUGCCUCAGACAUGCAAGUCGAACGAUUAAAGCUCUCUUCGGAGAGUGCAUAGAGUGGCGCACGGGUGAGUAACACGUAAGUAAUCUACCUUCGAGUGGGGAAUAACAGUCGGAAACGACUGCUAAUACCGCAUAAUGCAGCGGCAUCGCAAGAUGACAGUUGUUAAAGAAUUUAUUCGCUUGAAGAGGAGCUUGCGGCAGAUUAGCUAGUUGGUAAGGUAAUGGCUUACCAAGGCUACGAUCUGUAACCGGUCUAAGAGGACGGUCGGUCACACUGACACUGAAUAACGGGUCAGACUCCUACGGGAGGCAGCAGUCGGGAAUUUUGGGCAAUGGGCGAAAGCCUGACCCAGCAACGCCGCGUGAAGGAUGAAGUAUUUCGGUAUGUAAACUUCGAAAGAAUGGGAAGAAUCAAUGACGGUACCAUUUAUAAGGUCCGGCUAACUACGUGCCAGCAGCCGCGGUAAUACGUAGGGACCAAGCGUUGUUCGGAUUUACUGGGCGUAAAGGGCGCGUAUGCGGCUUGACAA